AGGGUUCGAUUAUGGCUCAGGACGAACGCUGGCGGCGCGCCUAACACAUGCAAGUCGAACGAGCGAGAGAGAGCUUGCUUUCUCGAGCGAGUGGCGAACGGGUGAGUAACGCGUGAGGAACCUGCCUCAAAGAGGGGGACAACAGUUGGAAACGACUGCUAAUACCGCAUAAGCCCACGGCUCGGCAUCGAGCAGAGGGAAAAGGAGCAAUCCGCUUUGAGAUGGCCUCGCGUCCGAUUAGCUAGUUGGUGAGGUAACGGCCCACCAAGGCGACGAUCGGUAGCCGGACUGAGAGGUUGAACGGCCACAUUGGGACUGAGACACGGCCCAG
rnacentral:rRNA from 1 species